AAUUGCUAUGAUGAUAGCAAUUAUGUCUAUUAAUUUGGGUUUAAUACUUUUACUAUUCAUAUGUGGCGCGCUCUUUUUAUUUGGUAGUACAAGAUGAAAAGGAUUGGACAAGAAAGUGAUUGAUCGGGUGAAUCGCUUUGUUUGCCUGUAAUUGUAAUUGCGUUUUUUUACUUAAAUAUAUAAUCAAAUUGGUUAAACAAGUUCAAGGAAGAAAUGGUUUAUUAAGAAAUGCAAUUUUAUUUGAAUUCACCAGGUUCAACAAUGGGAAAAUGGUUGAACCAGGUUUACAGAGUUGAUUAUGUAUUCCAAUUUGUUGGCCUCAGUUUCAUGAUAAGGUUACUGUGUAACUAAUAUACUCGUUUGUUCCUCUUCACCAUAAUGUUAAUCAUCAUCAACAUCAUUAACAUGAAUAUUAUUUCUUUACAUGCUGCUUUUAAUCACAAUUUACAUUUUUUACAAGUAAAGGUCAACAACUGGUGACAAUGUUGAGGCUUAUAUAAAAAAGCCAGCGAAGGAACAUGCAACAUUUUAAUACUAAUUCAUUUCGAGAGGUAUCAAUGGAAAAAUUAAAUUAAUGUUUCCUUCAACAAUUAAAAUCAUCUUUUCAAUACUAAAAGACAAAUUAUAUAAUCUUGAUCAGUAAAUGCGAUAAUUGUUUUGUUUCAGUUAGAUUGUUUCGCACUGGAUCUUUUGUCAAAAAAGAAGCUUAAAAUGUAUAUUGAAGUUUCAUUAAAACAAGUGGUGUUUCA